AUUGAACGCUGGCGGCAGGCCUAACACAUGCAAGUAGAACGAGUGGCGGACGGGUGAGUAAUGUCUGGGAAACUGCCUGAUGGAGGGGGAUAACUACUGGAAACGGUAGCAAAUACCGCAUACCAUCGGAUGUGCCCAGAUGGGAUUAGCUAGUCGGUGGGGUAACGGCUCACCUAGGCGACGAUCCCUAGCUGGUCUGAGAGGAUGACCAGCCACACUGGAACUGAGACACGGUCCAGACUCCGACGUGAGGCAGCAGUGGGGAAUAUUGCACAAUGGGCGCAAGCCUGAUGCAGCCAUGCCGCGUGUAUGAUGAAGGCCUUCGGGUUGUAAAGUACUUUCAUCGUGGAGGCGUUACCCGCAGAAGAAGCACCGGCUAACUCCGUGCCAGCAGCCGCGGUAAUAC
rnacentral:rRNA from 1 species